rnacentral:rRNA from 1 species
UACGAAGGGGGCUAGCGUUGUUCGGAAUUACUGGGCGUAAAGCGUGCGCAGGCGGUUUUUCAAGUCAGGGGUGAAAGCCCAGAGCUCAACUCUGGAAUUGCCUUUGAAACUGUGAAACUCGAGUGCGGGAGAGGUGAGUGGAAUUCCCAGUGUAGAGGUGAAACGCGUAGAUAUCGGGAGGAACACCUGUGGCGAAAGCGGCGCACUGGACCAUAACUGACGCUGAGGCGCGAAAGCUAGGGGAGCAAACAGG